rnacentral:rRNA from 1 species
GGCUCAGGAUGAACGCUAGCUACAGGCUUAACACAUGCAAGUCGAGGGGAAACGAUAGAGAAAGCUUGCUUUUUCUAGGCGUCGACCGGCGCACGGGUGAGUAACGCGUAUCCAACCUGCCCAUCACUUGGGGGAUAACCUUGCGAAAGUAAGACUAAUACCCAAUGACGUCUCUAGAAGACAUCUGAAGGAGAUUAAAGAUUUAUCGGUGAUGGAUGGGGAUGCGUCUGAUUAGCUUGUUGGCGGGGUAACGGCCCACCAAGGCGACGAUCAGUAGGGGUUCUGAGAGGAAGGCCCCCCACAUUGGAACUGAGACACGGUCCAAACUCCUACGGGAGGCAGCAGUGAGGAAUAUUGGUCAAUGGACGAGAGUCUGAACCAGCCAAGUAGCGUGCAGGAUGACGGCCCUAUGGGUUGUAAACUGCUUUUAUAAGGGAAUAAAGUGAGUCUCGUGAGACUUUUUGCAUGUACCUUAUGAAUAAGGACCGGCUAAUUCCGUG